GUUUUAAGAAGUCCUUCCGGGGAUUCUGUCUCACGUACAAGUUGGAGAAGCAGGGUUUAGACGAUGCGGUGGAGGCCCUGCAUCCUGCUCCCAGUACACAGAGGAUGACCGUAACGAUGACUUCUUGCACAGUGAAGUUUUUCCUUCGGACCUUCCACACAAAUCCGCUUAUGGGAUGUAAAUGAUGCGGUCCUGCAUUCCGAUCCAUCCUUGGGCAAAGCUCAGCGGUUUCAUGGCAGCAGCAGCAGCAGCACCUGGCAGUCAGCAUCAUUCCACCACAGUGUGAAACCACUGGGCUGAUGUGUAAAGCAGUUGAGCCCUGCAUCCACCAAGAGUGACAGUCCUGUGGGCGGCCACUGGACAAUGGAGGUGAAGUGGGGAGGCAUCAGAGUGACAGCCACGUUGUGUGCCUUCUGCACGAGCCAGACCGCAAGACAAUACUCAGAGAGAGGCAACAAUAUCCAUCCUGGCUGAGCUGAUGAUGGUGAGGGGCCCCAGAGCCAUGAAAAUGACUUGGAGCAGCCUCCAUGUAUUCCUCAGUGUUGAAUCAUUGUGUGCACCCACAGAGCAUUUGCUUUGUAAAAAAAGCUAACAUUGUGAAAAAUGGGGUAGGCACUUCCUGUUUUGACCAGGAACAAAUGCAAACCAGACCCUGCUCCUCUCACCAGGCAGAGCUUGCUCUUUCAAUUCAGAGAUAUCUGCAAGGACCCAAUUAUGCUGUGGUGUGGAAUGGAGCAUUUAUGUAAACUGAGGUUCCUGCCAAAGACACCAUCUCUUGGCUGAAUGGCAAGAUUGGCCAGGACACCAGGAAGCUGAGACUGAUUGGACACACAAGAGUGGGAGCUUGUGAGACAGUGGGAUACAGGACUAAGUAAAUUAUGUUUCUCUUCUGCCUUCUGUUCUUUGUCACUAAUGUAACAAUAGAAUAA